rnacentral:rRNA from 1 species
UACGUAGGGUGCAAGCGUUGUCCGGAAUUAUUGGGCGUAAAGAGCUCGUAGGCGGUCUGUCGCGUCUGCUGUGAAAACCUGGGGCUUAACUCUGGGCGUGCAGUGGGUACGGGCAGACUAGAGUGCAGUAGGGGAGACUGGAAUUCCUGGUGUAGCGGUGAAAUGCGCAGAUAUCAGGAGGAACACCGGUGGCGAAGGCGGGUCUCUGGGCCGUAACUGACGCUGAGGAGCGAAAGCGUGGGGAGCGAACAGG